rnacentral:ncRNA from 1 species
CUAUCCGACCUUACAGAGCUAAGUGGCAGCAUACGCGUUGUAAGGCGAAGCCGAAAUAAACUUCACAUCGGCUUAAGGGUACGGCGGGAAACGGCUGUGCCUUCCGUGUUUGAAAAGGAGCAGUU